rnacentral:lncRNA from 1 species
UGGUCCUAAUUAUUGAAUCAUUCAGAGUACUUCUACAAGCAAAUUGGUGACAGCUCCUAAUCAUAAUUGAAUCAGUAUCUUUCAAUUAUACAGUUCUUGUGAGGCUGUCAUAUAUCAUUAUCCAGUCCUAAUUCUUGAAUUACGAACCUUUGAAAGUACUUUGAAGAAAAUCGUUGAAGAUCUUGGGUCCCAAUACAGACCAACUUCAUCGCCAACACAAUCCACGAUCAAGGAACAAUUGAAGGUAUUGUAGAAAAAAGUCAACCCCCCCCCCCCCCCUUCUUCCUAAAUGUAAAAUUUGCACCUUCAUACUUCUUGGGAUCAUUCUCCUCAGUUACAUCCCACAAGACAACAUUCUGCUGGAUCCUAUCCACCAAACUUUUGCCAUCGGGUAGCUCCCUAUAUCGAAGAAGGUAAAAUGCAUUAGAAAACCCAAUCUUAAGACCUCCUACAAUGAGGUCUUUCCCAUUAAUUUUUUUCUUGAACUGACAUGGGUUUUCCAGAUUGAUUAUCGAUGCAGGGUAUAUGUCCCUUAUCCUGAUUAGUUCUCGGGUCACUACCCGAACCUCUUCCUCUUGGUCAUCAAAGGCAUUUGAUCAGUCAUGGACAAUGAAACUGUCAAUGGCUAAAGAAUUGAAUUGAAAGUUUAGGAGAGAACUUUAAUGGGAAACAGAGACAGCGGGAUAUUUUCAACAGUUAAAA